rnacentral:rRNA from 1 species
CUUAAAUUAUUGUUUGGCUAUUCUUAUAUAAACUAAAUAUCUAAAAUUUUUAUUCCUUUUAUAAGUUAAUCUUUAUUUUUAAGGAGUACCCAAUUUUCUAUUUCAUGUGAAGGCUUUUAGAGGGAUUUAUAAUUAAAUGAUUAAUUUGGUGCCAGCUAUUGCGGUUAAACUAAAAUUUAAAGAAUAUUUUUAAGAAAAAUAGUUUAAUGAAGUAGAUAAUUAAUGAUAGGUGAAAUUUUUAAAAAAUAUUGCCCUUCUUAAUAUUAUUUAAAAAAAAGAGGCUGAACUAGGAUUAGAGACCCUACUACACUUUUAUUUUUGUUCUUAAAAGAUUAAAACUAAAAUUUAAAGAUUUGGCGGCUUUUUUAUUUAGAGGAACUUGUCUAUUUAAUUGAUACGCCCCUUUAAUUUUGUUUUUUAAUUAGUUUUGUAUACCAUCAUUUAAAUAAUUUUUUAAUAAGUAAUUAUUUAGAGUUUUUUAAAAAAGUUAGAUCAAGGUGCAGAUAUAUUAAAAAUUAGAUUAGUUACAAUAUUAAUAUAUACUGUAAGGAGUUAAUAACUCUAUAAAAGGCGGAUUUAACUGUAAUAUAGCAAUAUAUGUGAAGUUUAAUAAAUUAGUGUACAAAUUGCCCGUCACUCUCUUUGAGAUAAGUCGAAACAAAGUAGAAGUACCUGAAGGUGUUUCU